rnacentral:lncRNA from 1 species
CCUCACAUACUGUCUGUACAGGAUUCCCCGGAGUGGCAGGUAAAUAUGUUUAUAGUAUUUCUAAUGUACCAAGGUCCUUCCCCCGGCUACCCACCAUAUCGCUCAAACCGAUGGUUGUUCUCCUCUCUGUCUGUCUGGGGCGAUGAAAACUCACACACACGCACACACACACACACACACACACACACACACACAACACACACACACACACACACACACGCAACAUACACACACACACACACACACACGCAACAUUGUGAUUGGUUAGUGUUGUAAUAUACUCAACAGGAAGUGACCAACAGGUACUGGGUUGUGAUUGGUUAGUGUUGUAAUAUACUCAACAGGAAGUGACCAAUAGGUACUGGGUUGUGAUUGGUUAGUGUUGUAAUAUACUCAACAGGAAGUUGACUGUACCCGUCUGGCCGGACUAGAUUAAAGGGUGGAAAGAUCUCAUCUAUAGUAAAAGCAUUGCAUGAAUAUAUCAUCGUAUUUUGUAUUUUUCUUUCAUUGUAAAUAAUUGUACAUAUUAGCGGAAUAUUGUUUUAAGGCUAUUUAAAGAGUGGGGAGGAGGAAUUAACCGACAGAUCUGUGAACAUAGCAGCCUAUAGUCUAAUGUAGUCUGUCUAAUAGGUAAUAGCCCCCCACACCACUAGAGGUCUAAUAGGUCUAAUAGGACUAACUACCUCUUCUUUCUUUCGUAAGGUCUAAUUAAAACGAAGACGGUUUAAAUUAAUUGUUGCUCUAAUCUGCCUCCUUUCAACACCACGAGCUGUCCGUUUCUGAUCGAUCGUGUCGACGUAAAUUACUAGAAUCUGGCUUAUCGUGAGAUCAAUAACUCUGAUAAAUACAUUACGG